rnacentral:rRNA from 1 species
UACAGAGGUCUCAAGCGUUGUUCGGAUUCAUUGGGCGUAAAGGGUGCGUAGGCGGCGCGGUAAGUCGGGUGUGAAAUCUCGGAGCUUAACUCCGAAACUGCAUUCGAUACUGCCGUGCUUGAGUGUGGGAGAGGUGAGUGGAACUGCGAGUGUAGAGGUGAAAUUCGUAGAUAUUCGCAAGAACACCAGUGGCGAAGGCGGCUCACUGGUCCGGUUCUGACGCUGAGGCGCGAAAGCGUGGGGAGCAAACAGG